UUAAACUCUUGGCAUUUGGCUUUGCCUUUCUGGACACAGAAGUAUUUGGCAAAGCCCAACACCUUCCCCCACUGGUGUUUCAUCAGUACAGACGCCUCACCUUCCCACGCACGCAGACUCGCAGACGCCCUCUGCUGGAACUGACACGCAGACAUUCAGCGGCUCCGCCGCCAAUGCAAAACUCAACCCUACUCCAGGCAGCAAUGCUAUCUCAGAUGUCCCAGGAGAGAGGAGUACAGCCAGCACCUUUCCUACAGACCCAGUUUCCCCAUUGACAACCACCCUCAGCCUUGCACACCACAGCUCUGCUGCCUUACCUGCACGCACCUCCAACACCACCAUCACAGCGAACACCUCAGAUGCCUACCUUAAUGCCUCUGAAACAACCACUCUGAGCCCUUCUGGAAG
rnacentral:sRNA from 1 species